rnacentral:rRNA from 1 species
UACGUAGGGUGCGAGCGUUGUCCGGAAUCAUUGGGCGUAAAGCGCGUGUAGGCGGUCCGGUAAGUCCGCUGUGAAAGUCGAGGGCUCAACCCUCGAAUGCCGGUGGAUACUGUCGGUCUAGAGUGAGGAAGAGGAAAGUGGAAUUCCGCGUGUAGUGGUGAAAUGCGUAGAGAUGCGGAGGAACACCAGUGGCGAAAGCGGCUUUCUGGUCCUUAACUGACGCUGAGGCGCGAAAGCAUGGGGAGCGAACGGG